AUCAGGAUGUAGAACUCCCAGCUACCUCUCCAGCGCCAUGUCUGCCUGUGUGCCACCCUGCUUCCCUCCGUGACGUUGAUGGACUAACCCUCUGAACUGUACGCCAGCCAGUUAAAUGUUUUCUUUUAUAAGAGUUGUCGUGGUCAUGGUGUCUCUUCACAGCAAUAAAACCUUAACUAAGACAAACCAUUAAUCUCAGGACCUGCAGUAGCCUGGGAUGCCUCAUGGUUCAAGGACAGGACAGGAUUAAGUGAACAAAGUCCCAAAAGAAAAGUCUGGAGUUUCAGAUUGCACAGACAGGAACAAAGACCGCUUGCAUCUUUUUUAGAGGACGCCUUACCUUGGUUUUCUGAAAGAACUUUUGGUGUGGCUGGCCUAGUGAGGGAGGGGUUGAGCAUUCUGAUGCCAUCGCCUGGUGAGACCAAAGUCUGGAUGUUGACAUGCCCAGCAAGCACCAGAGGAAGGCCCUACAGCUGAGCCUUCUUGCACCUGCCAGUGUCUUAUGACCCCAAAUCCCCUUUAGUUGUGCACACAUGGACACUGUUUAGCUUCCUGGAGAUCUCGUCUGCAAAGCUGCCAGGUUGAAGUGACAGAGUUUAUCUUAUCAGCAAACGCCUUCUCGAUCCCCGGAAACUGUAAUUCAGACCAUUCACACCUCCCACAGGGAGUGGCACUAUUAGGAGGUGUGGCUAUGUUGGAGUAGCUGUGGCCUUGUCAGAGGAACUGUAUCACCAUGGGGCUUUGACAUCUCAGAUGCCCAAGCAGGGCCUAGUUGUCACUGUCAUUUCUGCUGCUGGAAGAUCAAGUCUGCCUGCACACUGCCACAUCGCACCAUGGGACGACGGACUAAACCUCUGAAACUGAACAAUGCUACAUAACAGCAUCAAAGAAGAUUCCAAAAUCUGGGGCCUAAAGAACAGAGGAAAGGAACACACUAAUCACUAAGAUUUGGGACAGUCUGGGGCUGGAGAAAUGGCUGGGCAGCUUGAUGCUCUUCCAUGGGGACCCAAGCUCCCCUGUGAUCGAAGAAGCCAGAAGAACCUGUCACAACAGUUGGAGCUGCCACAGCUGCUGUGCCCCGAUGUAACAGACCAAAUCUUCUGAACACUCCUGCUGGCCCUGUCACUGCUCUCAGCAGUGUCUUCGGUUUUCAUAAGGUCUUCUAGAGACAAGCGAGUUGUUCUAGAACAAAUCCAGGGACCAAUAUGGCAGAAGGAGAGAAUGGACUCAUGAAGUUGCCCACUGGCUUCUACAUACAUGCUGUGGCAUGUGGGGCCCCUACUCCAAUAAAGAUUACAAACCUAUAUUACAAACCUAUUAUAAAGCCGUGAUGAUUUCCAUGUAUAGCGUUGGCUUAUGGGAAACAGCUCAGUGGAGU
rnacentral:lncRNA from 1 species